GCCAGGCUUGUCCAACAGAGUAGCUACUACCAUGUGAUCACUGAGCAGGUGUUCCACCAAUGGAGCCACCCAGGCACCCACAGGGCCUGCUAUUCUUAUCCUCUUUCCUGAUGAAACACUGGAGACAAAGGACAUGCCUGUUUUACACUGAAUUCAGAACCACCCUGGACUAGGAGCAAUCAAGCUAACAACCUGAGUCUGUGCAAACUACAGAGGUUAAAUGAAGUUAAUCUGCACACAGAAACACCCAGAAAACAUUGGUGCCAGGUGACUGUCAGAGCCAUGCAGGUCCCAGAGAUCCAGCAACCAACAUGGACUUUCACUGCUCAAAUAAACUAGGAAAAACUCUAAGCUACUGAUCCUGGAUACAGGGUUAAAAACUUGCUUUUGCUCCCAGCGAGGAACAUGGCUGUGGACCUUCAAGACAAAUCCAUCAUGACUGCCUCUGCACUGGUGCACCCUCUUUCCUGUCUGGAAGAGCUCUCCAGUCCUCCCUCUGGAAUGCUUUCUCCCAUCUACCACCCCACCCAGAUGCACUUCUCAACCCUCCCCUAAAGAACUUCCAGAUCAGCCUUGGACAGCCUACCAUAUUCUAAUGUCUUCUUCUCUCAGGCCAUUUUCAGAACUGCUGUAUGAUGGGACAAUUAGGGAUGAGUUUUAAAGGACAGGAUCCUCAGGAACUGUAUGCCAUCCCUCCCCUGCUGUGACUGCUAGGGAUCCUGACGAGGAACACGGAGGAACACGUGCUCUGCCGAGAGCCAAGGCAUGCGAGACCUGGUGCGCACAGAGCAGCAGUCACAGCAGCACGGCAGCCUUCUUCCCUUCAGGAGGCAACCAGACCUCUGCGUGCAGCUCUUGCUCAGUUUACCUCCCUCCCUUGAGGCUGGCCAUUCAAAUGUUUCUCUGCUGCACACACGCACGGUGCCCCUGCAGUCCCUCCUUCUCCAGCACUACCCUUUCUGCUCUGCUGUCGGAGGAGCUGCCUUACAAUCAGUUUUGGUUUUAUUCCCAUCAGUCCUUUUCGUGACCUCUUGCAAUAAUGAAAAGUCAGAGGAAACCAUAAAGUCACUGCAUCCUUCAUUUAACCCACAUUAAUAAAAAAAAAUAAAUAAUAACCCACAUUAAUUAGGAAAAGACUAGGUGUGCCUCUGUUUCAUUGUGGUAUCAAGAAAAGCCACUUAGAGAACCCCCAGAGUCUUUCAGCAGGUUUGGCCGAACACCUGGUACACAGCAAGUGCUUAAUAAGCAUUCAUGUGAACAGGCCCCCUCCUCACCAUAUAAUCUUGCCAUACCACAGUGAGCCACUAACUGCCAGGGCUCGAAGGCAGGAACAGGAACGCUUCUCAGGCCACCAGCUCAGAGCCUCUAAGCAGGCCUCCCUGGCCUCUUCGGCAGCCGGACUCCCAGCGUCGGCAUCAGGCAUGCGGACCGUCCUGGGAACAGAGACUUGCACAAGCCCUUAGAUUACUUCCUUUCUACCUGGAGUCAAAGCUGACAUCAGUGGAGUCUUCUCCUGUCCAAUCUCAUAGGCCAAGCAUUGACCAACCGCCCUCCAACAGAUUCCAACUGCCAGAGGCUGGCUACAAGCGUGUUCCCUUUGGGGCCGCUGACAUCACAGUCCAACCGUGGAAUCUUCACGUCCUCACACUUCACACGCCCCUCCCCAGCCAGAGGCUUUCAUCUCUCUCAAUCAACACUUCCCACCCAAAUGAGAAUUUGACAUCUUGCAAUCAAUCACCUUCACUCCUCGGGGGAUUCCAGGGAAGACGCACUGGGUUUUCAGCACUACAUGGGGACAUGCUGCCAAGAGGGCCUGCAGCCUUUCCAACACACUAACCACCUCGUGGAGAGAGAGAGUGGCAAGCCAGCGCACAGUUCUAAAGCACGAUUGUCUAUGAAAAUGGCAGUGAAUGAGUUCUCUGUGAGGGCAUACUCCUUCCUUUGUGCUCUCACUGAAUCUUCCAUGGAGUCAGUAAAAUCAAGUGGGAACUACCAUGUAUUGUCCACUGCUGAGUGCCAGGAACUUUAAAUGCUUCGUGCAUUCCAUGCUAAUGCUAUUUUGAGCUACACAUGAGGAUUUUCCAGGUCAGCUGUGUGUGAUUUGUCCCUAUCCACUGACACAGGACACAAAGUUAACAGAACUAAUCUCACCUCAACAUCAGACAAAAAAGCAUCUUACAAAAAAGUAAUCCACAUGCACAGAGCCUACCAUCCUGGAGGAGUGAACAGUCUGUGCGAAGGAAUGACCAAGGACACACAAGAAGGAAAGGCACUUGAACCGGAAGAUCCAAGAAGUACAUAGUUCUUUUCUACAUGAAGAUCCAAGAAGUACAUAGUUCUUUUCUACAUGGAGUUCUUUUCUACAUGGAGAGUCCCAGAGAGAGGCUCAGGACCCCUCAAGUAUUUUUCAGGCCUCCAGCAAAGGCAGUUUAUAAACAGUAUACUGUUGCAUAUGCAACUGAGUUGGCCCUCCUUGACCAUCCCAAGCCUGUGGCAAGAUUGAUCGUGGGGAUUUGUACCGGCUUCAUCCCCUCUUGCAAUAGCCUGGUUCACGUGAGCUUCACAGCUACAAGAGAAAACCCUCUACCAAAACAUGAAAGGUGAAAUGGGUUGGGUAAGCAUUAAUGAACAAGGCACAGAAAAGCAGUGCUAUGUGAGUGACCAGAAGAGCCCUCGCAGCACAGCCUGGCCAUGGGCUCUUCCCCUGGUUGACACUAGAGAGGUAUGUCAUGCACUGAUCAAGUGUAGAAUAAUCUCAAGAAUCAGACAAAUGUGGGUUCCAACCCCCAAGAGUACCCUAGAUGAGUUACUGAAGCAUCUGCAAUCCCUAGAUUACAAGGAGUUUGUAAGGAUGACAUGAGUGGACACAGUUAAUAAGCACCCAGUCUGACCUGUACUAACUUUCAAGGUCUCAACACACACUGAGUUAUAAUUCUAAAAUGAAGAAUCUGUUUUGAAGAAACUAAGAAUGCAUUUCAUUCUUUCUCUAUUCACAUCCCUCCACUCUCCAUUAAUUGUGUUAUUUUCCUAUCAAUUCCUAUUCUCUAGUUUAAAAACUCGGUAUUCUGGGCUAUGAUACUUUUCUUUUUUUUUUAGUACCGUGGGCCAGGCUAUAAAGACACCAAAUAAAGCAGCUUUUUGUUGUCUUUUGUG